AGAGUUUGAUCCUGGCUCAGGAUGAACGCUAGCUACAGGCUUAACACAUGCAAGUCGAGGGGCAUCAGUUUGGUUUGCUUGCAAACCAAAGCUGGCGACCGGCGCACGGGUGAGUAACACGUAUCCAACCUGCCUCAUACUCGGGGAUAGCCUUUCGAAAGAAAGAUUAAUAUCCGAUAGCAUAUAUUUCCCGCAUGGGUUUUAUAUUAAAGAAAUUCGGUAUGAGAUGGGGAUGCGUUCCAUUAGUUUGUUGGGGGGGUAACGGCCCACCAAGACUACGAUGGAUAGGGGUUCUGAGAGGAAGGUCCCCCACAUUGGAACUGAGACACGGUCCAAACUCCUACGGGAGGCAGCAGUGAGGAAUAUUGGUCAAUGGACGAGAGUCUGAACCAGCCAAGUAGCGUGAAGGAUGACUGCCCUAUGGGUUGUAAACUUCUUUUAUAUGGGAAUAAAGUUGUCCACGUGUGGAUUUUUGUAUGUACCAUAUGAAUAAGGAUCGGCUAACUCCGUGCCAGCAGCCGCGGUAAUACGGAGGAUCCGAGCGUUAUCCGGAUUUAUUGGGUUUAAAGGGAGCGUAGGCGGAUUGUUAAGUCAGUUGUGAAAGUUUGCGGCUCAACCGUAAAAUUGCAGUUGAUACUGGCAGUCUUGAGUACAGUAGAGGUGGGCGGAAUUCGUGGUGUAGCGGUGAAAUGCUUAGAUAUCACGAAGAACUCCGAUUGCGAAGGCAGCUCACUGGAGUGUAACUGACGCUGAUGCUCGAAAGUGUGGGUAUCAAACAGGAUUAGAUACCCUGGUAGUCCACACAGUAAACGAUGAAUACUCGCUGUUUGCGAUAUACAGUAAGCGGCCAAGCGAAAGCAUUAAGUAUUCCACCUGGGGAGUACGCCGGCAACGGUGAAACUCAAAGGAAUUGACGGGGGCCC
rnacentral:rRNA from 1 species